CCCAGACUCCUACGGGAGGCAGCAGUGGGGGAUAUUGCACAAUGGGGGGAACCCUGAUGCAGCGACGCCGCGUGGGUGAAGGAGCGUUUCGGCGCGUAAAGCCCUAUCGGCAGGGAAGAAGGAGGACGGUACCUGACUAAGAAGCCCCGGCUAACUACGUGCCAGCAGCCGCGGUAAUACGUAGGGGGCAAGCGUUAUCCGGAUUUACUGGGUGUAAAGGGGGCGCAGACGGCAGCGCAAGCCAGGAGUGAAAGCCCGGGGCCCAACCCCGGGACUGCUCUUGGAACUGCGCGGCUGGAGUGCAGGAGGGGCAGGCGGAAUUCCUGGUGUAACGGUGAAAUGCGUAGAUAUCAGGAGGAACACCGGUGGCGAAGGCGGCCUGCUGGACUGCGACUGACGUUGAGGCCCGAAAGCGUGGGGAGCAAACAGGAUUAGAUACCCUCGUACG
rnacentral:rRNA from 1 species